UACGAAGGGGGCUAGCGUUGCUCGGAAUCACUGGGCGUAAAGGGUGCGUAGGCGGGUCUUUAAGUCAGGGGUGAAAUCCUGGAGCUCAACUCCAGAACUGCCUUUGAUACUGAAGAUCUUGAGUUCGGGAGAGGUGAGUGGAACUGCGAGUGUAGAGGUGAAAUUCGUAGAUAUUCGCAAGAACACCAGUGGCGGAGGCGGCUCACUGGCCCGAUACUGACGCUGAGGCACGAAAGCGUGGGGAGCAAACAGG
rnacentral:rRNA from 1 species